AUAGCGAACUUCUUCCUAUUCCAUCGUCUAGCAAUCCCCAGAUCCCACGCCGACUUUUUCGCGAUAAUAAGCACGCCAUUACGCUCCUUCUCUCUUAUAAUUUCCUUCCUAAUAGAUCGCCAGUUAGCCGUCUCGCCGAUGACGAUCUCUGUUCCCGGGCGCCCCGAUCGCAAGAUGCAGUCAGUAGUCAAUACGCGAUGCCGCUUUCUCUCCCGUCUUCAGACGCUGACAUACGCACACACAUCGCCGAGCGCUAGUCGCUAGAGCCGAUGCGAUCCACAUCUCAUCGCUGAACGAUCCAAACCAUCCAAGCAUGGUUAACAAAGAUAGUACAAUAUGUGGACGAGUUGAUACAUCAGAGGCGCUCUUGAUAAAAUUAUCAAGGUAAUAUGCUUCGUAGAUUCCAAAUGGUGAAUUGGUGAUUUUGUGGAGGAAGAGAACCAAAUUGAUGGGAAUUCUGAAUCUUAACAACAGGAAAAUGUUGACAUCAAUAUAGAUGAUAAAAAUGCAUAUAAUUGUGGCACCGGUUGAAAGAAGCUUUGCAAAGAUACAAAUAUUGAAGAACUAUUUGAGACAAUGACUCCACCGACUUUAAAUGGUUUGGCAAUGUUAUGCACUGAGAAAAAGUUGUUGGAUUAGAUUGACAUCGACUCCAUCGUAGUGCGGGUGCCAGCAGCGGGUUCCAAAGGGGCACCAAAAUUAUCCUAAUGAACUUAAAUAUUGAUACAACCUUGUCACGUGAAGUAAAACAGGUAAUACAAAGGGAGCAGCCCUGUACCUUUGGUAAGAAAUUAAAUUUCUGCAUCAUUAUUGGUAAGGCGUGUAGUUCCUUGAAAUGGCUUUGUAAAAACUCUGUUUUUUGUGAUAGAUGUGUUGUCUAUUGAAAAUGCUUCUAAAACGGUGAUCUAUGUUAGUUUUGCAAUAGUAUAUCUAUUUUCGAGACAUUUACUCUAGAAUUUUGUAAAAUUGGACUUUGAUUUGUAUCAGUUGCGGCACCUUUCUGUGUUAUGAGGUGACUGUGUAACAUAUGUGACACAGUGUGCAAGCAGGGAACAACUACGAAUUAGUUUCAACUUAGCUUCCACCUGUUUUCUCUUUUCAGCAUAGGUUGUUACAGGAGCUGCAUUUGUUGGGCUUAAUUAAGUAAUUCUACAAUUCUUGAUGUUAUGCAGAUAUUGUUGCGUGUUUUGUCGAGUUCACCUUUCAAAGACUACUGUGUCUGGUGGUCCCUUUCAGAUUCAAAAGUGCAACUGUGUUUAUGAAGAAGAUUGAACGAAAGAAAGUGUUAUUCAACCUGAAUAGAACAUGCAAUUUUGGUUUGUAGCGAAUGAGAAUUGUCUCCCUGUUACCCUGGGAGGAAGUCCUACGCAUCUUCUUGGUUCAGGACUUGAGAGAGAAGGUGAAGAGAAAGGAAAAAGAUCUGGUAAUCUUUCCCUUCUACAUGGGAUGUCGGUUGAAUGGUUGAAGGCAGGGGGAACUCACUCGUCGUAUCAAAGCCACUGGAUGGACUAAGAGAUCUGUAGAGAUAGGCAUUUUCAUGUUUCUUUUCCUUUUCCAUUUGGUGGGUCUUGGUCAUGGGAGUUUGUAAAAUUUGGAUCGAAUGGCGAUAUUGGUCUUGUGUCAGCUUGUGCUACAUACAUACCACCAUUGUAAAAUUUGUAUUGUAUUGUGUGGCAGGGAGUAGGUAGUUUUGGCAAUAUC